AACAGAUGGUGAGAAACAUUUCUGCUCUUCCACACCUAGGAUGCGGUUCUGCUCUGAGCAUCCAGCACCAGUGAGGCAAUCUGCUUUUCAUUUAUGGGCAGAGAAAAGCCACAGAGGAAGGAAUGAGGGAGGCCAUAGUUCUCAGAGUGUCGGAGGAGUUGAUGCAAUAAUAAUUCAAUUCCCCCUACUCUGAAAAGCAAGGCAGUCCAACCCGGCAGGAUGCCUGCAGCCAGGGCUGUAAACUCCAGCUCACCUCAGGCUACCUCCAGCUGAGCAAGCCCACACCAGAACCUGUGGGCCUGAACUCUUGCAGGGGAAGAGUUCAAACAGGGCCUUUUCCAGUUUGCAUCAUGUGGCAGAGCCCUGUAGCCAAUCAGCUGGAAGCGAGUUCCAGGUCUGGCGGCAUCUUUGCAGCCUCUCACCUGCCAGGAUUGCUCCCCCUGUGGUCUUCCUCUGCCUGCUUCCCAGGGCAGGGCUCCAUCCAGCGUCAUUUGAUGGAGCUUUCACAUGCCAUUCCCCAAUAAAAUAAAAUGCCCUGAAGUGACCCCGGCCCCCUGUACUCUUCCAUUCUCUGC
rnacentral:lncRNA from 1 species